AACGGUCUAUACCUGCGGUACCUGCGGAGGGAUCAUUACAUGGCGGAGGAGGUGGGCACCUAGUAAAAACAAAACCCUAGGUGUGUUGCCUACCACGCUUUCUACCCUUGUCUAUUUGCACCUUUUGUCGUUCCCUCGGUGGGUCUUGAACCUGCCGGCGGCAACUUUCAAAAACCUUUUGUAGUUAGUAUCUAAUUCUUCUGAUCAAAUAUUCAAUCGUUACAACUUUUAACAACGGAU
rnacentral:misc_RNA from 1 species